GGCUUUAAGCUGGCCCAGGUCCUAAUGCCGGUCCGUCCCAUAGGUUGGGUCGUGACAUUUAAAUUUUUAACAUAAUUUAUUAACCGUGUUCGUAUUGAUACAUGAAAUGAACACAAAUCCCACCGCUGAUUUUAAAGUAAAGAAUAAUUCAAUCCAACGAUGGUGCAAUAAUGAAGCUUGGAAUCAAUGAAGUUGGUCAUAGUGAUCAGUGAGUCUAAAGGCACCCUACUGAAACGAAUAAUGUGAAAAAGCUAAAGAAGAAAAAUUAAAAAGAACAAGAACAAUGGGUUCUUAUUUCAUAGGCUACCUAUCUUGAAGAGUAAGUGCAUAAUAUUCUUCUUUUUUUCAUCUUUCAAUUCAUUGAAGAGCACUAAUAUCUGUAAAAGACCACUCUCCGAUCCAAACUUUUACUGUUUAUGUGUCUAUAAAGGGAAGCACACCGCAGGCAAAACCCAAGUUUACUAAUAAAAAGUUAAAAACUUGACGACAAUUUGAAUAAAAAUAUCAAAUAAAUCUAUAUACUUUCGGUUGAGAACAAAAUUUUCUAAUAAGGCCGUAGUAAAAAUAUAUAUAUUAUUUUUAAAAAAUUUUUAAUAAUAAAAUAUUCAGUCUUUGAGUUUAUUUGAAGUUGAGGAAAGGUUGGGAGACUUGUUCUUGACAGGACCACGUAUAAAUUCUCUUCUGGACUCCUUGAAAUCUUGCCCGUCCAGUAACUACUAACCAGCCGCUUCCGUCAUUCUUUUUUGUCACAAACGCUAAAACAGAAAAGAGAUAUCAGCAUCUCAUUGGUCCUUACUCCAUUCACCACUCAAUCCCACUCUUCCUUCCUCUCCAGCCAUGGAAGUUGCAGUACCAGCAACUUCAAUACCCAAGGCUUUUAAUGUCCUUGCAAUUUCCAUUGUCCAAAGAGUAGCUAACCCCACUGCCUUGAUCCCAAUAUGGCCUACCACAAAUCCCAGCGUGCACACUCUUUAUGCCUCAAAUCCUAUCUCAAGAAACAACACCCUUCUCUCCCUCACUCGCUGCUCCACAAGACCAGACACCAACACAAACAAUGGAAGAGGCCAAGAUUCGAGUACUGGCUCAAAUCCUAGUUCAAAACCCCAGAAUUCAUCAACGCCCGUUUCAAACAAUUCACUUUCCUCUUCUUUUCCAUCACCAUCAUUAUCUAAAGGGUUGGUGUUUGAUUUGGGUUCCAUUGAUUCGUGGGAUAGCAAGGAAAUUGGGUCACCAGUGGUGAAAAGGUUCCUUAGCGAUGAGGAAGAGAGAUGGUUCAUGUGGUACCAUGGAAAUUCCAGUAAAAACCCAGAGGUUGAUUCUAUAGGAUUAGCAGUUUCCAACAAUGGCAUUCACUGGGAGAGAGGAGUAGAACCUGUUAGAUCAAGUGGGGAUGUGGGUAUGGUGAUGAAGUGUGGUCAAGAUUGGUGGGCAUUUGACACUAUGAGCAUUAGACCUAGCGACGUGGUUAUCAUGUCAAGCAGUAAAGUCAAAGCGUUAAGUGCUGUGUACUGGCUUUAUUACUCUGGUUUCAGCUCUGAAAAGGUGGAUUUUGUAGAUGAUGAUUCUUUGGAAUUAAAUUUAGAGAACCCAGAAAGGUUUUGCAUUGAUAACAACAAUUAUGGCAGUGGAAAAAUCUUCAAGUCCUUGCCGGGCUUGGCAAUUAGUCAAGAUGGGAGAAAUUGGGCUAGAAUUGAAGGGGAUCAUCACAGUGGAGCUUUGUUUGAUGUGGGUGCUGAGAAAGAAUGGGAUUCCUUGUUUAUUGCUAGUCCGCAAGUUGUUUUUCAUGGAAAUGGUGAUCUUAGGAUGUAUUAUCACUCAUUUGACAUGGAAAAUGGGCAAUUUGCUAUUGGGAUUGCAAGGUCAAGAGAUGGGAUUAAAUGGGUGAAGUUGGGGAAGAUAAUGGGAGGAGGAAAAGUUGGUUCUUUUGAUGAGUGUGGUGUGAUGAAUGCAAGUGUUGUUAGGAGCAAGAAAGGUGGGAAGUAUGUGAUGGCAUAUGAAGGUAUUGCCGCUGAUGGAAAGAGGAGUAUUGGAUUGGCAGUGUCACCUGAUGGAUUAAAAGACUGGAGGAGAUUUCAAGAUGAAGGAGUGCUAAAGCCUUCAGAGAAAGAUGGAUGGGAUAGCAAGGGAAUUGGAUCUCCUUGUUUGGUGCAAAUGGAUGGGGAUGUUGAUGAGUGGAGGCUGUACUACAGAGGAAUUGGCAAUGAAGGAAGGACUGGGAUUGGGAUGGCAUUUUGCUUAGGAAAUGGUAUCAGUAGUUUUCGAAGAUGGACAGGUUUCAAAUUAUAAGAUGAUAUGACAGGGUAUGUCAUCUUCUUCAAUUUUUUUUUUUUAAGAGUUUUCUUACUUUACAUCUCAACUUUAGAUUGGUUGCUCAAUUAGAUGACGCAACAUUUGAUUUACAAUCAUAAAUGAAAUACUGAUUUUUUUUUCUACUCUGUUGAUGUUAUAUGUGAUUACAUUAUUUCUCUUAUUUACAGUUUAGUCUGAAAAUUUUAAGAAUAAACCCAAAUUGGUAUUUUGCUUGAUAAACGUCU
rnacentral:misc_RNA from 1 species